AGAGUUUGAUCAUGGCUCAGGAUGAACGCUGGCGGCGUGCCUAAUACAUGCAAGUCGAGCGAAUGGAUUAAGAGCUUGCUCUUAUGAAGUUAGCGGCGGACGGGUGAGUAAUGCUUAGGAAUCUGCCUAUUAGUGGGGGACAACGUUCCGAAAGGAACGCUAAUACCGCAUACGCCCUACGGGGGAAAGCAGGGGAUCUUCGGACCUUGCGCUAAUAGAUGAGCCUAAGUCGGAUUAGCUAGUUGGUGGGGUAAAGGCCUACCAAGGCGACGAUCUGUAGCGGGUCUGAGAGGAUGAUCCGCCACACUGGGACUGAGACACGGCCCAGACUCCUACGGGAGGCAGCAGUAGGGAAUCUUCCGCAAUGGACGAAAGUCUGACGGAGCAACGCCGCGUGAGUGAUGAAGGCUUUCGGGUCGUAAAACUCUGUUGUUAGGGAAGAACAAGUGCUAGUUGAAUAAGCUGGCACCUUGACGGUACCUAACCAGAAAGCCACGGCUAACUACGUGCCAGCAGCCGCGGUAAUACGUAGGUGGCAAGCGUUAUCCGGAAUUAUUGGGCGUAAAGCGCGCGCAGUGGUUUCUUAAGUCUGAUGUGAAAGCCCACGGCUCCCCGUGGAGGGUCAUUGGAAACUGGGAGACUUGAGUGCAGAAGAGGAAAGUGGAAUUCCAUGUGUAGCGGUGAAAUGCGUAGAGAUAUGGAGGAACACCAGUGGCGAAGGCGACUUUCUGGUCUGUAACUGACACUGAGGCGCGAAAGCGUGGGGAGCAAACAGGAUUAGAUACCCUGGUAGUCCACGCCGUAAACGAUGAGUGCUAAGUGUUAGAGGGUUUCCGCCCUUUAGUGCUGAAGUUAACGCAUUAAGCACUCCGCCUGGGGAGUACGGCCGCAAGGCUGAAACUCAAAGGAAUUGACGGGGGGCCCGCACAAGCGGUGGAGCAUGUGGUUUAAUUCAAAGCAACGCGAAGAACCUUACCAGGUCUUGACAUCCUCUGACAACCCUAGAGAUAGGGCUUCUCCUUCGGGAGCAGAGUGACAGGUGGUGCAUGGUUUGUCGUCAGCUCGUGUCGUGAGAUGUUGGGUUAAGUCCCGCACGAGCGCAACCCUUGAUCUUAGUUGCCAUCAUUUAGUUGGGCACUCUAAGGUGACUGCCGGUGACAAACCGGAGGAAGGUGGGGAUGACGUCAAAUCAUCAUGCCCCUUAUGACCUGGGCUACACACGUGCUACAAUGGACGGUACAAAGAGCUGCAAGACCGCGAGGUGGAGCUAAUCUCAUAAAACCGUUCUCAGUUCGGAUUGUAGGCUGCAACUCGCCUACAUGAAGCUGGAAUCGCUAGUAAUCGCGGAUCAGCAUGCCGCGGUGAAUACGUUCCCGGGCCUUGUACACACCGCCCGUCACACCACGAGAGUUUGUAACACCCGAAGUCGGUGGGGUAACCUUUUUGGAGCCAGCCGCCUAAGGUGGGACAGAUGAUUGGGGUGAAGUCGUAACAAGGUAGCCGUA
rnacentral:rRNA from 1 species